rnacentral:rRNA from 2 species
UUAGCGACUAAGCGUACACGGUGGAUGCCCUGGCAGUCAGAGGCGAUGAAGGACGUGCUAAUCUGCGAAAAGCGCCGGCGAGGUGAUAUGAACCUUUGACCCGGCGAUGUCCGAAUGGGGAAACCCAGUGCAAUUCCGUUGCACUAUCGUUAACUGAAUACAUAGGUUAACGAGGCGAACCGGGGGAACUGAAACAUCUAAGUACCCCGAGGAAAAGAAAUCAACCGAGAUUCCCCCAGUAGCGGCGAGCGAACGGGGAGCAGCCCGGAGUCUGAAUCAGCUUGUGUGUUAGUGGAACGGUCUGGAAAGUCCGACGGUACAGGGUGAUAGUCCCGUACACGGAAGCACACAGGUUGUGAACUCGAAGAGUAGGGCGGGACACGUGGUAUCCUGUCUGAAUAUGGGGGGACCAUCCUCCAAGGCUAAAUACUCCUGACUGACCGAUAGUGAACCAGUACCGUGAGGGAAAGGCGAAAAGAACCCCGGCGAGGGGAGUGAAAAAGAACCUGAAACCGUGUACGUACAAGCAGUGGGAGCCUCUUUAUGGGGUGACUGCGUACCUUUUGUAUAAUGGGUCAGCGACUUAUAUUCUGUAGCAAGGUUAACCGUAUAGGGGAGCCGAAGGGAAACCGAGUCUUAACUGGGCGUUAAGUUGCAGGGUAUAAACCCGAAACCCGGUGAUCUAGCCAUGGGCAGGUUGAAGGUUGGGUAACACUAACCGGAGGACCGAACCGACUAAUGUUGAAAAAUUAGCGGAUGACCUGUGGCUGGGGGUGAAAGGCCAAUCAAACCGGGAGAUAGCUGGUUCUCCCCGAAAGCUAUUUAGGUAGCGCCUCGUGAACUCAUCUUCGGGGGUAGAGCACUGUUUCGGCUAGGGGGCCAUCCCGGCUUACCAACCCGAUGCAAACUGCGAA